GCAGCCUUUUAGGUGUUUGGAAUCACCUGGGAUUUGGAGAAGCAAAGAUAAAGAAGACUGUGGGCUUACCCUGAAGAAUUUACAGCUGUAAAGGGAAGAUCGAUAAAGUAACAGCUGGCUUCUUGCUGUUAUACCUGAGGAAGAUGGCUGAUUUGGGAUGAUCAAGAUCAAGCUAGAAGGUAUCCCCUUUCAGUUUCCUGAUUUGGAAGAAGAGAAAAUUCCCAGAAGACACAGAGAGAGAGAGGCAGAGACACAGGCAGAGGGAGAAGCAGGCUCCAUGCAGG